rnacentral:rRNA from 1 species
GACGAACGCUGGCGGCGUGCUUAACACAUGCAAGUCGAACGGAAAGGCCCUGCUUUGGUGGGGUGCUCGAGUGGCGAACGGGUGAGUAACACGUGAGUAACCUGCCCUUGACUUUGGGAUAACUUCAGGAAACUGGGGCUAAUACCGGAUAGGAGCUCCUGCUGCAUGGUGGGGGUUGGAAAGUUUCGGCGGUUGGGGAUGGACUCGCGGCUUAUCAGCUUGUUGGUGGGGUAGUGGAUUACCAAGGCUUGGACGGGUAGCCGGCCUGGGAGGGUGACCGGCCAAAUUGGGACUGAGAUACGGCCCAGACUACUACGGGAGGCAGGAGUGGGGAAUGUUGCACAAUGGGCGGAAGCCUGAUGCAGCAAAGCAGCGUGCGGGAUGACGGCAUUCGGGUUGUAAACCGCUUUCGCCUGUGACGAAGCGUGAGUGACGGUAAUGGGUAAAGAAGCACCGGCUAACUACGUG